rnacentral:snRNA from 1 species
UCGCUUCAGCAGUGCGUAUUCUAAAACUGGAACGAUACAGGGAAACUUAGCAUGGCCCCUGUGCAAGGAUGACAUGCAAAGCAUUCCAUAUUUAAAUUUUU